CCAUCCAUCCAGCCACCACUCCAUCAUCCACUCCAUCUCCACCACCCGCCGCUGCCAGCGCCGCAUCACCACCUCGAACCACUGCGCCAUCCAUCACCAUCUCCAGCACCGCCACCGCACACCAUCCAUCACCAUAUCCAACGCCACCACACCAUCCUCCAGUCCUCCUACUGCUACCCUCUUCUUCCUCACCUCUGUUGUUGCUCCCCUGAACCCGAACUCCUUCUCCAUCUCCAAACUGCAUGCUGCGCCUCUGCUGAAGCCUUCUCUGAACCUACUGCUGCUUCUCUUCUUCCCUCGCCUCAAACUGCUGUUGCUCUCUUCUCCCCUGCGCCUCCACGCUGCUUCUACUACUCCUUUCCCCUGCUGCCUCUUCUUCCCAAACCUUAUUGCCGCUCCUUCUCUGAACCUACUGCUACUCUUUCUCUGAACCUACUGCCGCUGCUCCUUCUCUGAACUUACUACUGCCCCUGCUGUCUCUCUCUUUCUCUCUGAACCCCUUUGCUGCUCCUCCUCCGCUCAACUUCCCUAACUUGCUGCGAAUAGGGCAAAAAGGCCUAUAAACUUCAAGAUUUGGACUAUGGGGCUAAUGAGAAGAGACAAGGGCAGGACAGAAAGAUGGAGGGACCCAAGUGUGAUGAACACUAAAGCUUGAAGGGUUUGCCUAAAUAAGAGGAGGACCAACUUGUGCAGAAGGAAGAAAAGGAGAGGGGCCAGAUUGCAAAGGGGAAGAUCUGAUCGAGGGGAUCAAAUCCCUAGCACUCUCAAUCCCCAAAUCGGGACUGGCAUCUCUCUCUUUCCCUUACCCUCCUUCUCCACCUUCGGCCGCCGCCAUGGCCAGGCCGGCGUGGUAGGUGCGCCACCAGCACCCAGCGCCAUCCAUCCAGCCACCACUCCAUCAUCCACUCCAUCUCCACCACCCGCCGCUGCCAGCGCCGCAUCACCACCUCGAACCACUGCGCCAUCCAUCACCAUCUCCAGCACCGCCACCGCACACCAUCCAUCACCAUAUCCAACGCCACCACACCAUCCUCCAGUCCUCCUACUGCUACCCUCUUCUUCCUCACCUCCGUUGUUGCUCCCCUGAACCCGAACUCCUUCUCCAUCUCCAAACUGCAUGCUGCGCCUCUGCUGAAGCCUUCUCUGAACCUACUGCUGCUUCUCUUCUUCCCUCGCCUCAAACUGCUGUUGCUCUCUUCUCCCCUGCGCCUCCACGCUGCUUCUACUACUCCUUUCCCCUACUGCCUCUUCUUCCCAAACCUUGCUGCCGCUCCUUCUCUGAACCUACUGCUACUCUUUCUCUGAACCUACUGCUGCUGCUCCUUCUCUGAACUUACUGCUGCCCCUGCUGUCUCUCACUUUCUCUCUGAACCCCUUCGCUGCUAGUCCUCCGCUCAACUUCCCUAACUUGCCGCUGCUGUUUCUCUCUCUCUCAAAUUUCUGUAAUCUUGAGUAGUAUAAUGUUUAGUAUUUUGUAAUGUUUAGAACUGAGAUUUGUAUGGCAUGUGUUGUUCAGAUUUGUCUAGUAGUACUGUUCAAUAUAUGUGCUCUGUUUAUCAACUAGUCAUUUGUAAGAACCUAGCUUACUUGUCUAUUUUUGUGUUGUUUGUGCUCUCUGUCAAGUGAGUAGUUUGAACAUCUUUAAUUCUUAGUCCAUGUGUUAGCUAUGUACGUGUGAGUAUAUAUAUGCUUGUGAUGUGAAGUA